CCCCCCGGUGCCGUGCGCCGCUCCCCGCUCCCGAUGCCGCCCCUCCCUGCCCCCCUCACCACGGCGCUCCUCUCCUCCGGAUCCGGCGAGGGCCGCGGCUGCGGGGGCAGCGGCUGGGCGAGCAGCGGCUGCAGGGCCGGCGGGGCACCCCACCUUGUCUUCCGGUGUGGGUGACCCUUCUCUCCCUCCCCCCUCCUCCGUUGGUGCUGGUGCAGCGGCGGGGCAGCGGCCUGACGGCCCCUUCCCUCUCAUCUCUUCAUGCACUUCUCUUUCAGCUGCUUUGAAUCAAUCGUGCCUUGACCUAAUCCGCAGCUUCUUGCUCUUCCUGUGCAAGUGCAGAUGCUGAUAUGGAUUCCGCGACCUGCUCUGAGGAACGCCCAUUGCGGCAGCCUUCUUGGGUUUGAGCCGAACGAUCCCAGGGAGCUUCCUCAUGUAAUCAGGGAUUCAGGGUGACCCGGUGAAAGAAGAACUAGAGUGAAGGGAAGAGAAUUGGAACUAUAUGGCUGUUCAACAAUCAGUACAGCUGAGAGAAGGUUGCAAGACUUAAAUGCGAGAAGCCAGAAACAAGGGUCCAUUGGUUACUCAAUUAAAUUUGAAGAUACUCCAUGUUUUCUAAAUUCCAAGAAAAGAUUAGUCUUUGACUGACUAUCUGAGCAUUGUAUGGGAUUGCUGUUUCUUUCUCGUAUACCAAAAAAAAAGUGCAGCAGUCUGAACCUUUUCUGAUCAGAAGCAUUACUCUGAUAAAAUAAAAUACAUGACAAGGCUUUGGUUGCUGCUGCAGAUGCACCUGGUAGCUCCUCUACAAAGACAUGGAAAAGCACUAGAAAGAAAAAGUUAUACCUGUCAGCGACCCUAUUUUUUUUACUUCUACCAGUUGCUUAUUGAACAUAAAAACCCAUAUUUGUACUUCUAGGUCCUGUCCAUCCCCUAACAAGAAAGUUGCUAAGAAGAUAUUUACUGGUGAAGAAACUGCAGAUGGCAGUGGUAGCAGUGACGGUGGUGCAGCCACCUCUGAUUAGAACAUUCCAAGCAAGGAUGCAUGAGCAGUGAAGCUCAUGUUGCUUUUGUCUAACAGUUGCAGCCGGCUUUUGUGUGCCCUUGGUCUCCGGCAAGAAGAGUCCAAUGCAUGGGACCUGGAGCCUGCAUUGACCUCAAUCUGCAAACUGUGUAGCAUGGUGUCUAGCUUUUGGUUUUAGGUAGUAUUCAAAGCUAUCAGCUAGGUUGUUUGGUAGGUAUGCAUACUUGUUGUUACAUGUAGAUUUAUGGUGGUCGGAUGUGCUGUAAUAUUGAUGCUCCAAAUGCCGGACAAACACCUGAUGAUAGGAUAGAGUGAUGCUGGGAUGUAACCAUGGUGAUCAGAUGUA